GAUGAACGCUAGCGGCAGGCUUAAUACAUGCAAGUCGAGGGGCAACAGGGGUAGCAAUACCUGCUGGCGACCGGCAAACGGGUGCGGAACACGUACAGAACCUUCCUUUAAGCGGGGGAUAGCCCAUAGAAAUGUGGAUUAAUACCCCAUAGUAAUAUUGAUUGGCAUCAAUUGAUAUUUAAAGAUUUAUCACUUAAAGAUGGCUGUGCGGCUGAUUAGGUAGUUGGGUGGGUAACGGCCCACCAAGCCGGCGAUCAGUAACUGGUGUGAGAGCACGACCAGUCACACGGGCACUGAGACACGGGCCCCGACUCCUACGGGAGGCAGCAGUAAGGAAUAUUGGUCAAUGGACGCAAGUCUGAACCAGCCAU
rnacentral:rRNA from 1 species